rnacentral:rRNA from 1 species
GACGAACGCUGGCGGCGUGCCUAAUACAUGCAAGUCGAGCGAAGUUUUUCUGGUGCUUGCACCGGAAAAACUUAGCGGCGAACGGGUGAGUAACACGUAAAGAACCUGCCUCAUAGACUGGGACAACUAUUGGAAACGAUAGCUAAUACCGGAUAACAUCAUUACCUGCAUUGUUGAUUUUUAAAAGUUUGUUUUUCUAACACUAUGAGAUAGCUUUGCGGUGCAUUAGCUAGUUGGGGGGGUAAAGGCCUACCAAGGCGACGAUGCAUAGCCGACCUGAGAGGGUGAUCGGCAACACGGGAACGAAAACACGGCCCAGACUCCUACGGGAGGCAGCAGUAGGGAAUCUUCCGAAAUGGGCGAAAGCCUGACGGAGCAACGCCGCGUGAGUGAAGAAGGAUUUCGGUUCGUAAAGCUCUGUUGUUAGGGAAGAAUGAUUGUGUAGUAACUAUACGCAGUAGAGACGGUACCUAACCAGAAAGCCACGGCUAACUACGUG